rnacentral:rRNA from 1 species
GAUGAACGCUGGCGGCGUGCUUAACACAUGCAAGUCGAACGAUGAAGCCCAGCUUGCUGGGUGGAUUAGUGGCGAACGGGUGAGUAACACGUGAGUAACCUGCCCUUGACUCUGGGAUAAGCCUGGGAAACUGGGUCUAAUACUGGAUAUGACUUCUCAUCGCAUGGUGGGGGGUGGAAAGAUUUAUUGGUCUUGGAUGGACUCGCGGCCUAUCAGCUUGUUGGUGAGGUAAUGGCUCACCAAGGCGACGACGGGUAGCCGGCCUGAGAGGGUGACCGGCCACACUGGGACUGAGACACGGCCCAGACUCCUACGGGAGGCAACAGUGGGGAAUAUUGCACAAUGGGCGCAAGCCUGAUGCAGCGACGCCGCGUGAGGGAUGACGGCCUUCGGGUUGUAAACCUCUUUCAGUAGGGAAGAAGCGAGAGUGACGGUACCUGCAGAAGAAGCGCCGGCUAACUACGU